rnacentral:sRNA from 1 species
UCCUGCUCAUCCAGUUUGGCUCUGCUCACAAAUGCGUAAAUGCAUAUCGGGUUCUUACACAGAUUCCAUUCCCUGGGACUUUGCAUGCAUUUUUUUGUCGGCUGAGAGGACUCAAUCAGCAUUCCUUCUUGGAGGUACAGGACGCUGGAUCGAACCGUUUGGGUGACUGAAGGGACCAGGUCACACAAAAAUACAAGGAUGAGAGAGAACUGUUGCCUCCCAGUUAUUAAGUGUCCUCUCCCAAACCUCAAGCCCAUCACGGCUACAGCCGCCUCUCUGGCUUGAGAAACAGGCCUGGGGGCUUUGCGCCAGCCACAAUGGUGAUGGAAUCUUCUUCAGAGGUCGCACCCAGAGGAAGAGCCCCAGAUCCAGCACGGCUGAGGCGUUCAGUCUUCUUUUGUCUCCUGUGAAUGGUGACGUACAGUUUGGGAUGAGGCUGGAGAGAGGACUCAGCGGUUAAGA